rnacentral:rRNA from 1 species
AUGGCGCAAUGGUGGGAGGAGUGGGAGCUGCGCACCCUCGUCCUCGCCAGCCUCAGCGCCCAAUACCUCCUUGUAUGUAUGGCCGUAGUUCGUAAGUCUAGUCUUCGUCUACAGCAACUGGUCAUCAUUUCGUUCCGGCUGGCGCACAUCGGCAGCGACGCCCUGGCCAUCUUCGCCCUCGCCACGCUCUUCAACCGACAAAAGAAUGGGCCGGGGUGUCACUACGCACGCGGCAGCCGUGACUUGGAGCUGUUAUGGGCGCCGAUCCUGGUGAUGCAUCUCGGCGGACAGGUCGCCAUAACCAGCUACAAGAUUGAAGACAACGAGCAGUGGGGCCGCCACAUGCUAACUUCUCUAUCCAAGGUUAGUGCUAAACAAUUCUAG